rnacentral:rRNA from 1 species
UACGUAGGUGGCAAGCGUUAUCCGGAUUUAUUGGGCGUAAAGGGAACGCAGGCGGUCUUUUAAGUCUGAUGUGAAAGCCUUCGGCUUAACCGGAGUAGUGCAUUGGAAACUGGGAGACUUGAGUGCAGAAGAGGAGAGUGGAACUCCAUGUGUAGCGGUGAAAUGCGUAGAUAUAUGGAAGGACACCAGUGGCGAAAGCGGCUCUCUGGUCUGUAACUGACGCUGAGGUUCGAAAGCGUGGGUAGCAAAUAGG